GCCUACGGGACGCAGCAGUGGGGGAUAUUGCACAAUGGGGGAAACCCUGAUGCAGCGACGCCGCGUGGACGAAGAAGUAUUUCGGUAUGUAAAGUCCUAUCAGCAGGGAAGAAGAAAUGACGGUACCUGACUAAGAAGCCCCGGCUAACUACGUGCCAGCAGCCGCGGUAAUACGUAGGGGGCAAGCGUUAUCCGGAUUUACUGGGUGUAAAGGGAGCGCAGGCGGCAGCGCAAGUCUGAUGUGAAAGCCCGGGGCCCAACCGCGGGCC
rnacentral:rRNA from 1 species